rnacentral:rRNA from 1 species
AUGGAGCAUGACUUGGUAAAAGCUAGAAAUCUGAAGCUGCUGCUUUGUUUGUUUGAGCAGCUAAGUGGGCUCAAAAUUAACUUCCACAAAAGUGAGUUGUUCUGCUUUGGGAGAGCCAAAGAGGAACAAGAGGAUUACAAGCAGUUGUUCGGAUGUGGUUUGGGUGAGCUGCCUUUUACCUACUUAGGAAUUCCUAUUCAUCACCGCAAGCUCACGAAUAAUGAAUGGAAGUGUAUUGAGGAUCGUUUCGAGAAGAAGCUAAGUUGUUGGAAGGGCAAGCUCAUGUCGUAUGGAGGCCGGUUAAUUCUUAUUAAUUUGGUGCUCACGAGCAUGCCCAUGUUCCUUUUGUCCUUCUUUGAUGUCCCAGUUGGAGUUAGGAAACGACUGGACUUCUAUCGAUCGAGGUUCUUUUGGCAGGGGGGUGAGCCUAAGAGAAAAUAUCGGUUAGCGAAGUGGGAUAUCAUUUGUAGACCGAAAGACCAAGGGGGUAUGGGGAUUGAGAAUCUCGAAGUCAAGAACCGGUGCCUUCUUAGUAAGUGGUUGUGGAAGUUAUCCUCAGGAACUGACGCCAUGUGGGCUCAAAUCCUGCGUAACAAGUAUCUCCAAACCAAAACUUUGGCUCAGGUGUCGGUUAGACCAACUGAUUCACCCUUUUGGAAAGGGCUUAUGAAAGUGAAGCUUUCAUUUUUUCAGAGGUCAAAGCAUUUAGUUGGUAAUGGUGCAAGCACGAGAUUCUGGGAGGAUACUUGGCUUGGAGAGGCUCCCCUAGCAAUCCAGUAUCCGUCUCUGUAUCGUAUAGUUCGAAGGCGCGAUGCUUUGGUUGCAUCGGUCUUCGCCUCGAUACCCCUGGAUAUCCAGUUUAGAAGAUCGUUAGUGGUCAAUCGUUGGGAAGAGUGGCUGCAUCUAGUUAGGAGACUGAUGCAGGUACAACUAUCUCAACAACCUGAUAAAUUACGCUGGAAUCUCACUAGGUCGGGGGGAUUCACGGUUAAAUCAAUGUAUGUUGAUGUUAUUAAUUCCAGCUCGAUUCCUACUUCAAAGCAUGUGUGGGACGUCAGAGUUCCUUUAAAGAUCAAGGUGUUUAUGUGGUUUCUACAUAAACAGGUGAUCUUAACAAAGGAUAAUCUUAUUAAGCGUAAUUGGACAGGACCUACUAGGUGUAUUUUCUGUGAUCAGGGUGAAACCAUUAAACAUCUUUUCUUUGACUGCCCACUAGCUAGAAUUCUUUGGACGACUAUUCAAGUCGCUUUCAAUAUUACCCCACCAAGGUCGGUUAACAUGUUGUUUGGGACAUGGCUAACUAGGGUAGAGCCCGGGUUAGCAAAACAUAUUCGCUUGGGGGUUUGCGCUUUUUUGUGGGCGCUUUGGAAUUGCAGAAAUGACUUCGUCUUUAACAGAUCAACAAAUAUUCAUGUUUUGCAGGUUAUCUUCCGAGCAACGGCUCUUAUCCGUUCCUGGUCGCUACUCACUCCGACGGAGGCCAGGGAGCUUUUGGUUACUGCUGCUAUCCGAUGGGAGAUGGUAGCUCGGGAUAUAUUCAGCCGGUUUGGAUGGCGGUCGUGUAACAGGAUAGGCAAUUAG